CACGUAGGGGGCAAGCGUUUGUCCGGAUUUAUUGGGCGUAAAGAGCUCGUAGGCGGUUCGGUAAGUCGGGUGUGAAACCUCCAGCUCAACCUGGAGUCGCCACUCGAUACUGCUGUGACUAGAGUCCGGUAGGGGAGAUUGGAAUUCCUGGUGUAGCGGUGGAAUGCGCAGAUAUCAGGAGGAACACCGAUGGCGAAGGCAGAUCUCUGGGCCGUAACUGACGCUGGAGGAGCGAAAGCAUGGGGAGCGAACAGG
rnacentral:rRNA from 1 species